GCCUGGGUGGCUCAGUGGUGGAGCAUCUGCCUUAAGCUCAGGGGGGUAAUCCUGGAGUCCUGGGAUCAAGUCCUACCUCGGGCU
rnacentral:tRNA from 1 species